UACAGAGGGUGCGAGCGUUGUUCGGAAUUAUUGGGCGUAAAGGGCGCGUAGGCGGUGCGGUAAGUCACCUGUGAAAUCUCCUGGCUCAACUGGGAGCUUGCAGGCGAAACUGCCGUGCUGGAGUGUGGGAGAGGUGCGUGGAAUUCCCAGUGUAGAGGUGAAAUGCGUAGAGAUCGGGAGGAACACCAGUGGCGAAGGCGGCUAUCUGGACGGACACUGACGCUGAGACGCGAAAGCGUGGGGAGCAAACAGG
rnacentral:rRNA from 1 species